rnacentral:rRNA from 1 species
GAUGAACGCUGGUGGCGUGCCUAAUACAUGCAAGUCGAGCGAACAGACGAGGAGCUUGCUCCUCUGACGUUAGCGGCGGACGGGUGAGUAACACGUGGAUAACCUACCUAUAAGACUGGGAUAACUUCGGGAAACCGGAGCUAAUACCGGAUAAUAUAUUGAACCGCAUGGUUCAAUAGUGAAAGACGGUUUUGCUGUCACUUAUAGAUGGAUCCGCGCCGCAUUAGCUAGUUGGUAAGGUAACGGCUUACCAAGGCAACGAUGCGUAGCCGACCUGAGAGGGUGAUCGGCCACACUGGAACUGAGACACGGUCCAGACUCCUACGGGAGGCAGCAGUAGGGAAUCUUCCGCAAUGGGCGAAAGCCUGACGGAGCAACGCCGCGUGAAUGAUGAAGGUCUUCGGAUCGUAAAACUCUGUUAUUAGGGAAGAACAAAUGUGUAAGUAACUAUGCACGUCUUGACGGUACCUAAUCAGAAAGCCACGGCUAGCUACGU